GAUACUGAGUUUGUCAACCCUAUCAAGCAUUGAAAUGAAAUUAUUCUUACAGUUGAAAGACCUCAUGAAUUAGAGGAGGAUCACUUGAAAAUGAUAAUCGCAAGGUUUUACUAUAGUCUAAACCACGUGUUGUGGUGGACAGAGAGUGAUCAAUACAUUGCCAAGUCAAACAAGGUAUGCAAACCCAACCUACAAGACAAGGCAACUUGACAGCAAUAACUGUAGAGUUCAACUAAUGCGGAACAAAUGAGACAGAUUUGCAACUACAAGAAUCAAGGCAAUAAUUGAAGCUUUGGACUGGUCACUGGAGAGGAACCACUUUCAUGUUCCUUUUUUUGCAUGUAUUGGGAAGAAAACGGACAUUAUAGUAACCCAUGUUAUAUGGAAUACAUGUCUGCGUUCAAUUCUAUUGCGAAUUUGUUUACUGCUUAAGCAAAACUGUUUUUAUCCAAAUAAAAUAAUUUUCAGAUGAAAUACCAAUAAAACAAAGGUAAUUGAUAACUGAUGUCCAUGAACUCUAGGUUAUUUAUAUGAUACAUGCCAGAGUUCAGGUAAA